GCCUUAUUUUCUUGGCCGCAUCAGAUCAGAAGUCCAGCCCCUCUACUCCUUUUUCCUCUUUCCUUGUUCUUCUUUCUCUUUUCUUCCUUUGCUUCUUACAUGACAGCCCUCCCUCUCUCACCAAAACAAAAUAUCCCUCUCUAAGGAAGAAAUUAAAGGGUUAACACUAAAAUUUCAGCUUCAAAUUGUUGGGGGGUGUUACCAGUAUCCAAGUCUAAGCUCCUUUGACUGUAGGCUCUCAGUUCCUCUGCUUUCAGUUAGCAGGUUUUAUUUUGGAGCAGAGGGAGCCUUAGUCGAGUUUGGAAGGAGCUGGUUUUAGUUUUAUAUGUAUAGAUCUUAAAUUAGCAAUUUGAUGUUUAGCUUUGUAGUAUUGUGUAUUUUAGGAUCUAAUGAAAGUUGUGUACCUUAAAGUAUUAAGGAUGUAUUAUGUGAAAGUGUGGAAAUUAAAUGAUUGGUGGAUUAUGUUA